AGACCCAGCUAAAAAUAAGGAUGUUUUUCCUGAGAGAUUCUUAUCAGCGACUUUUCAAGAUUUACCAGCACCGAAUUUGACGUGGGAGAAGAUGGCGUCAGCACCAGUGCCUCGUCUAGAUGGCGCUGCAAUACAGAUAAAAAAUCUUUUAUAUGUGUUUGCUGGAUAUGGUACCUCUGAUUAUAGACAAACUCACAAGGAAGCUGCCCAGCAAUCCUUGUCUUCAUAGCUAGCAUCCCUAUUUAUUAUAAUUUCUCCAUAUUUAG